AAUCACUGUCAGAGUCUAUGCUGGAAGCCGGUGGGCUGAUGGGCUUGUUGACCGUGGACCUGUCACCUGGGGAAGUGGAUGAGGCUGCCUCCGUCAGCGGUAGGCUAAAGCUGAUAUACUUCUGUACUUUGGGAUUGUGGUGGCUAGAGUUUAAGUCUUCCUCAUUAGGGCCAUUACACUCUAAGGCACCCUCCAUUAACCUGGACACUCUGGAAUGCACGAUCCUGUGGCAAAACCCACCUUCUUUACUGGGAAUAUUACUUGAAUUAGGAAAAAGCAACCCAUCUGCAGUUUCCUCUCUGUGAUUUGGAUCACAAGCCUCUUCAGUUUGCCUUGUGUCUUUAACGUCCGAGAGAUUUUCAGAACUGGAUACAUCAAGGUCAUUAUUGGCCAAUAACUGAAGUGAACAUGGCCCAUCGAAUUGGGAGGAAGGGGAAUCAGCUGAUGUGGGAGGACCAGAGGCAAUACGUUCUUCUUCCCUAUAAGGAUGUUCUUUCUCAUCAAUUUGACUUGUGUUUUCCUGCUCAUAUGUCUCCAUUUCACGGUUCCAACCCGCAUCCCCCUCAUCUUUUGGGCUAGGAGAGAGUUGUAGGUUCUCUGACGAGCACUCAACUUCAAUGGAAGCAGAACAGCAGAUCAUCCCAAAACAGUUUUUAGCAGAGAUUUGAUAAACAGCAGUGUCCUCUGGGGUACAGCUAGGAUGAAGAGAAGAUACAGGCCAUAAUCCCUCUGCUGGACAAACCGGCUACCCUGAAGAUACGAUGACUUCUGUGGAAAGAAGAGAAAGAAAGAAAAGAAAACAAGCCCAAGAGGCACAAAGGACCAGGAUGUACAAUGUCAAGAGUGAGCCUUGGUGUCAACCGUGGACUUGGGGUGAUAAAGACGCAUCAGUGGAAACUCAUCAGCAACAACCGUCCCACUCUGGUGGGGGAUAUGGACAGAGGAAGAGUCUGCAUUGGGUGCAGGAGUGGAUACAUAGAAAUUGUGCUUUCUGCUCCAUUUUGCUCUGAACCUAACACUGCCCUCAAAAACAGUCUAGUGAAUUCCAGCGCCUGGAAGCCACCAAGAAAAUCAGUGAACCAGCAACUCAGGGUGAAGGGCUUCACCACUGGUGUUUUUUAAGCCUCCUGGGUGAUGGUAAUGGGCAGUCAGAGUUCAGAAAGCAUUAGCUCCGGUACCUAGUGAACGAGGGAGGGGAUGACAGAGGAGGGAUUUCAGCCUGGAUGUGAAUGGGGAAUGGUUUCCUGGCUCUUGUUUGGCACAAAAGUACUGAGCUUUUGACAGCUUUUUGAGCCUCUGGGACCAAAUGCAGACCAACCAGACAUUCUCUGAACAAGGAAUGAGCAAAAUGAUUUCAGAAAGGAAAGCCUCUCAUGGCCUGACUGACAACAGGCUUAGUUAACAGAUGACUGACUCCUCUUAUCAAAAGAAAACUCAAAGGAGUUCCCCAGUGGUCUAGUGGUUAGGAUUCAGUGCUUUCACUGCUUCAGCCUAGAUUCAAUCCCUGGUCUGGGAACUGGGAUCCCACAUCAAGUUGCUCAGCCAAAAUAAAGGAAAAAAGGGUGGGUGGGGGGCAACUCAAGGGUUAGCUGGAAACAAUCCCCCCUUGCCCCAAUGGAUGGGCCACUAAGCCCGAGUAGUGUCCCAGAAUGUCUCUGGACUGGCCCCUGCGACUGGCCCCUCACUCCACCGUCUCCAGCCACAGGGACCUUAAACACUCCGACACCCCUGGGGCUUCUUCCUGCCCUUGCUCUCCACCAUCCACACCCUGAUGAGAACACUCUUUCUUGGAUAAUAAUCACGCCCUCUCCCACUCCUACCCAUCACACCUCUGCUCCCGGCCCCUCAUCAGACAGCCCAUUCCUCCCUGACACAACUUCCCUCCCUGCCCCUCACUUACUCUCUGUCACCAGACACUUUACUGGUGGUGUUAGUCUGUCCACUGUGUGACUCCCCCUUGAAACCCUAUUCCAUGAGAUUGGGGAUUCUGCUCCACUUUUACCACUGGUUCAAAGCCACCGCAGCAGGAGUGAAAGGAACUAAGUCAACCAGCUUCCUUAAAAAAAAGUGAAGAAGUUCUUUUUUUUUUUUUUUUUUUACUUUUUAGGGCUGCACAUGCAACAUAUGGAAGUUCCCAGGCUAGAGGUCGAAUCAGAGCUGCAGCUGCCAGCCUACGCCACAGCCACAGCAACACGGGAUUGGAGCUGCCUCUGUGACCUUCACCACAGCUCAUGGCAAUGCCAGAUCCCCAACCCACUGAGCAAGGCCAAGGAUUGAAUCCUCAUGGACACUAGUGGGUUCAUUACCACUGAGCCAUCAGGAACCCCUAGUGAAAAAGUUUGAUUGGACAUUUGAACAGAUGAUGGAAACUACGAAUGCAUGCCCAGCUCCUGGUCUGUCAGUUGACUUCAAACCUUUAGAAAGAAGAAGCUGGAGCAGUGACAGUUAAGAAUCCUAAACUCAGGAUCAUUACAGAAGCAGGGAUUGACGUCACCUUGUUACUCCAGCAGAGAAAGACUAAACACUGUAGUCAGUUCAUCAAAUGAUCCCCUUGUUUAUGUGUUUGGUCAGAGCAGACCAACAUUAUAGAGGCCCUUGGAUGGAAAAGGAACCCCUCUCUCUCCACCCGCCCUUGAAGGGGUUAGGACUCUGUAUAAAUAAAAACAGUGCUCCUGGAAAAUGAAACAAACAGCCCCUGGGAUGUAAUAGGCCCUCCAUGAAUCCUUAUUUUUAAAGGAACUGCACACAACGCCUUCUUUUUGAGUGACACCCCGGCAUGUGUGUUUAGUAGAUUUUGUUUUGCAGGACAGUGCUGGUUGAAUGAGAUGCACUGAGGGAUAGAACAGGACCCAGGGGUGCUGGGGACACAAUUCUUGGGUGAUCCUAGCUUGGCUGCUAACCAGUUUAGGAACUUGGAUGGGUCCCAUGGUCAUUCUGAGUCUCAAGUCAUCUAUAAAGUAGACCAAUUAUAUCAGCAUUUCUUGGGAACAGACACUGAGCAUCAGUAUUUUUCAAGAGUGCCCCAGGAAUAACAUAUAGACAGGAGUGGAAGAAUCCAUAAAGCAGGACCCUUCGUGCACCCCAGUCGCCUGGGAUCUUGUUAAAAAUGCCGAACUCAGGGUGGGGACUGGGAUUCUGGCAAAAUUCUAACGAGUCCCAGGAGAGGUUAACAGCGGCUGCUGGUCUGAAAUCAACCUUGAGUGACAAGGUCUUGGAGUUGCUUCCAGCUCUCUGACGCCACUGUAUCUGUGAGGAGUGAACGUUCAUUUAUUAAAUUCUCAGAAAAAUCCCAGCUGUCACUUGACCUGCAGCUCCAUUUGAGCCAAGUUCCCAGUCAAUGCCCAGCAGCUGUCCCCACAUGCAAUUCUGUGGGUCUUUGAGUGGGUUUUACUAUUAAAACAAAAAACAAAAAACUAGUUGAUCAGUGCAAGCAGGGGGAAUGUGCAAAAUCGGAUAUGAGAAUUCACUCAAAAAGCAGCCUGGGAGAUUGUGGUCAGGUUACAAGUUAAUUGCUGUUCUUGGACAGUAUUCUGUCAUGGGAUGUUGGUGCCAGCUGUGUCCCUCUUUGUCAUCUUCACCGGGUCAUCUGAUUGUGGGUAGGCAGGCAUGGUGACUGGCAGCAGACAGGAAAGCGGGGACUGGCAUGGUGCCUGGGGGAGCAGCUCCACAUUGGGGUACGGCUGGGCAGGGCUGACAAGGAGGAAGAAUCUCCACCCCAUUGGAGCAGCAGCCCAGGAAAUGGGGAACAACAAGACCAGAAGGCGGGCAGCCACAUGGUGCCCAGAAACUCAGGCUCCCUGGAGCUGAAUGGGCAACAGGAACUGCUGACAUGGUUGCCUUGUUCCUCCAGCUCCUGCAGGAGACCUUUUAACAUUAUUUUCUAUCUUCGCUUUGCCUCUAAAGUACCAGCAGAUGAACCACCAAGAAGCUACAAUAAAGGAGUUCCCAUUGUGGCUCUGCGGUAACAAACCCAACUAGUUAGUAACUAUGAGGAUGCGGGUUUGAUCCCUGGCCUCGCUCAGUGGGUUAAGGAUCCUAUGUGGCCGUGAGCUGUGGUGUAGGUCGCGGAUGCAGCUCCAUCUCCAAUUGGACCCCUAGCCUGAGACUUUCCUAUGACACAGAUGCAGCCCUAAAAAGCAAAGAAAAAAAAAAAAGAGGGAGAGAGAGAGAAGCUACAGUAAGUCAAAUCCUGUCCCCUGGGUUCAGAUGGCUGUCUGUAGAAUGGCUGUGGAGGAGAAAAAAUUAAAACUGACAAGGACAGAUGAACAGGAGAAAAUCAUGCAAAGUUUAUUGAAUUUGUACGUGUCCAUAAGAGCCUUCACAAGAGAAUAAAAACCACAAAAAAAAUGA